rnacentral:rRNA from 16 species
GCAAUGUUGCUUGUUGAUCUUUCAAUGUUGGCCGUUCCUAGCUUC